rnacentral:lncRNA from 1 species
GCUUAGCUGUCAGGAUGUUUUAUUAGAUUAGCUGUGAGCAGCCCUGAGAGAUAUCGAAAGAAAGAAAGAAAACACAAAUCAUACUCGAUAUCACGCAACCUCUGAAGCUCACCUUUUCAGUUAGUUAUUCAAAUGAUAUUGUUUAUUACUGUUGUAAUAUUAAGGACUUUUAAUAAUGCCAUUAAUUACAUAUGUGUGACUCGUAAAAAGUAAAUGAGUCAGUUCCUGAACAGCAGUAAGUCUUCGGGAGUCCUUAUUUCUUUCCUCAAAUCACGAGGCAGACAAGUAUCUCCUUGAUGUUCGUCAUAUGGGAUUCAAGAUGUCAAAUUUUACAACGAGACAGCCAGGGUAUUUCCUUAGUUAUAGUGGCAGAGGAUAUCCAUCUCCUUAGAGAUGGACUUUAAUGAGAGGAGGAUGAAAAACACCAAUCUGAUCCCUCAUUAAUUGUUGUCUUCGAGGAAGAGUUAUCAACAUAAACGUACGAAGAUAUAUCAUAUUCUAUUCAAAUAUAGCUUUAUAAAGUUAUAGGGAUUUCCCGCUGGUGCGGCGGGAUGGUUUCGCUUGCCACAAAUGAAAUAAGCAAAGUCAUUUUCCUUAUCCCAUUCAUUCCAAACCUUACUUCCAUCCUUUGGUCAUGACUUCAAAACCUUUUAAAACGCAAUGUUCAUAUGGCAACUCCUUUUGUCGUUUUCUUUUCUGUUGAUCCCAUCAUUGACUCGGCAUAAGCCUCAUAUCAAUAUAUUUUAUGAGCCAAUUGAUAAGGUUAUCAGAUUAUGAUUUAGUGUUUCUGAAAUCUUCCUCUAAAAUAAUGGACACAAUGACUGGUCAAUUUAAUGGCUUGCUCGAACUUCAUAUAGUUAUUAAGAAACUUACAAUCACUUUGCAUCAUCAAUAAUUCAAGAAAGUUAGAUGCCAAUUCAGAAUCCAACUACUGAUAUAUAUAUAUGUAUACCUAUUAUAAACGAUCGGAACAACGGGAUAGAGUACAAUGAAACGAAGCUAUUGUCAUUUUGAAAACGUUAAUAUCAUAUUCAUUCCACUAUAAACCUACUAUUUACAUAGUCUGUUCUAAAUAGUCUCUAAUUAUUUGUUUUUAAACAGCAAAACUUAACCAAAUAAGGAAAUUUGUAUAUAAUAUAGUGAUGAUUAUUUUUUAUACUUUUAUAAUACAAUUUUUAAAAACCCAAAUAUAUUGUUAAAAUUUAUUGUUGAUUGUGUUCUUGUUUGAUAGUUAUGGUAUAAUAAAGUUUGUUUUUUUAA